rnacentral:lncRNA from 1 species
GCAAAACUGAAAUGGAACAGGGGCAGAAAAUAGCACACUUUUACUCUACGCAACUGUUGCUUUUUCAUGGAGCUCUUUCUGAGAUGAAGAGAAUUCUCAAUGUCAAGAUUUGAACAAGAAGAGAAUGGAAUACACAAUAUGGACAUCCAUAAAAAUUCAUCAGAGAGCAUUUUACUACUGAGCUGCAAA